rnacentral:rRNA from 1 species
UACGGGGGGGGCGAGCGUUGUUCGGAAUUACUGUGCGUAAAGGGCUCGUAGGCGGCGAACUAAGUCAGACGUGAAAUCCCUCAGCUUAACUGGGGAACUGCGUCUGAUACUGGAUGGCUUGAAUUUGGGAGAGGGAUGCGGAAUUCCAGGUGUAGCGGUGAAAUGCGUAGAUAUCUGGAGGAACACCGGUGGCGAAGGCGGCCUCCUGGACCAAUAUUGACGCUGAGGAGCGAAAGCCAGGGGAGCAAACGGG